rnacentral:rRNA from 1 species
AUUUAAGCAUAUCAAUAAGCGGAGGAAAGAAACUAACAAGGAUUCCCCCAGUAACGGCGAGUGAAGCGGGAACAGCUCAAAUUUGAAAUCUCCGUUGCUUGCAACGGCGAAUUGUAGUUUCGAGAAGCACUUUCUAGGUGGAUCGGCUCUGUCUAAGUUGCUUGGAACAGCACGUCAUAGAGGGUGACAACCCCGUCUGUGACGGAGCCGACCGCUCACGAUGUGUUUUCGAAGAGUCGGGUUGUUUGGGAAUGCAGCCCAAAAUGGGUGGUAAACUCCAUCUAAAGCUAAAUAUAGGCACGAGACCGAUAGCGAACAAGUACCGUGAGGGAAAGAUGAAAAGAACUUUGAAAAGAGAGUUAAAAAGUACGUGAAACCGUUAAAAGGGAAACGAAUGGAGUUAGCAAUGCACUCUUUAAGAUUCAGCCGGUUGGUGGCGCGGACGGAGGGUUUGCAGAUCUGAAUGGACUGCUGCCGUUCGGCUCGUGCCCCCGACCGUCGCACUUCUUUUGGGUGCGCGUCAACAUCGGUUCGGAUCGGGUUUUAAAGGCGUCGGGAAGGUAGGUCGAGCGUUUCGGCGUUCUUCUGUUAUAUCCCUUCGUUCGAUGGCUCGGUCCGGACCGAGGAGCCGCAGCGCAUGCCUCUUUUGGCUAGGGUUCCGUAGCGCCGGUCGGUUGUCGAUCGUGGUGGACUGCUUGCAGUGCACCCAAACUGCUGCCGGUCGCCGUUGCGGUAACUUCAUACCAUGCGCUCAGGAUGUUGGCGAUCAUAUGGCUUCAUCCGACCCGUCUUGAAACACGGACCAAGGAGUCUAACAUGUGCGCGAGUCUUAGGGUGAUUGAAACCCCAAGGCACAAUGAAAGUGAAGGCAGCCUAGCUGCUGAGGUGAGAACCUCUCCUCCGGGAGUGGCGCAUCAUUGACCGAUCUAUUCUACUCUUAGGAAGAUUUGAGUAA